UUCUGUGCCGAAUGUUGUUCGUUGGCAGUGCAGCCAGAGAUCUCAACGAAGCGUCGAGCGGAAUGGUUUCGUCGCCUCUACCGGGGUGACAUUAACACAGACGCUACCCACUACAAAGUCUGCAGCGAGCACUUCGUUUCUGGCAAGCCAUCCUACUUAAUGGAUCUGACGAAUCCGGACUGGGCGCCAAGCUUGCACCUAGGGUAUGACACAAAGUCAACAACUCGGUCUGAAGAAAGGCACCAGCGACGUUGCAAGAGGGCUGCGACUCCAAAGGAGGUCCAAAAGGCCGAUAGCAGAGUGCUGCGACCCUUGACUACAAUGUUGAAUGCGCAGCAGAGCGCUGUGAACAGUACUGUCACAAGUAAAAUGGCUUAUUCAUACAAGGGGAAUAUUUUCUUUAAUGACAUUCAGCAUCUUAACAUUUUUGUUUUUAUGCAGGCACACCACUUGCAAGCUGGCAUCCAGGAAGAUUCUUUCAAGAUGACUAUCUGCUGGUGUCCACACAAAAAAGUCGCAAUAGCUGCGCUGGCAAACAAAAAGCUGCAUUUGUAUUUGCGUGUAGUAAGCAUGUUGUCGUUUCAGCUUCAGUGUAUUAUCACUAGCAGCAACUUCUAAGCAGCCACUUUUCUGGGUCACAACGUCAUUUACACAAGCAGCUGAAUAUGGGCACUUAAUUUCUAAAACAUCAUCUUGGCAGCAGGCACAAGAAAUCAGGCCAUCUGGGCUUGCUGCCAUG